UGGACCCCGGGCAGCCAUCUUUCUUUCAUCCAGAAGUACUCUCGGCUGGACAACGCAUUUCGAGAGGGGAUUUAUCACAUAUUAACUGCCUGCGUCUACUUCUUCAACCUCCCGGUGCAGCGCCGCUCCCGCAAGUCAGAUUUUUGGGACAACCCCCGCCAGGGACUCCCGCAAUCAUCCUCCUGCUACGUUCCCGACUGCUGCCAGCGGUACCGACGAUUGGCGGCUCCUGGACCGUGCUGCAACCUACAAAGCGAAAAUCAGAGUUGUGCCUGCAGCUAGCACAACAUCACAAGCUUUUCUGAAAAGAGAUAUAACUAAACAGCAGCUAAAUAAAUCCACAUACUUGACAGAAAACUUCUAAACUUUCCUAACAACUACAAUGGAGGGGAUGGUAUGGCAGGCUUCAGUAUUACCCAGCACCUUAAUCAGAAUACCUGACUUCAACUGGCUUCAACAGUACAGUCUUUAUGUAACAUGUAAUAAAGAAAUAGAUGUUCUCUGUACAGGAAAUGCAUUGUAUAUCACAAUCUUUAUAAGCUUCAGAUAUGAUAUCAGGAGCCAUUCUCUACUCGGUUAUUAAAUAUUACAGUAAAAGGUUCUCAAAAUGACAUUCCUCUCUUCAACAGCUUCUUGUAUUCUCUGCUAUCCUGCUCUGUUCUUCAGC